rnacentral:rRNA from 1 species
GCUGGCGGCAGGCCUAACACAUGCAAGUCGAGCGGUAGCACAGAGAGCUUGCUCUCGGGUGACGAGCGGCGGACGGGUGAGUAAUGUCUGGGAAACUGCCUGAUGGAGGGGGAUAACUACUGGAAACGGUAGCUAAUACCGCAUAAUGUCGCAAGACCAAAGUGGGGGACCUUCGGGCCUCAUGCCAUCAGAUGUGCCCAGAUGGGAUUAGCUAGUAGGUGGGGUAACGGCUCACCUAGGCGACGAUCCCUAGCUGGUCUGAGAGGAUGACCAGCCACACUGGAACUGAGACACGGUCCAGACUCCUACGGGAGGCAGCAGUGGGGAAUAUUGCACAAUGGGCGCAAGCCUGAUGCAGCCAUGCCGCGUGUGUGAAGAAGGCCUUCGGGUUGUAAAGCACUUUCAGCGGGGAGGAAGGCGGUAAGGUUAAUAACCUCAUCGAUUGACGUUACCCGCAGAAGAAGCACCGGCUAACUCCGUGCCAGCAGCCGCGGUAAUACGGAGGGUGCAAGCGUUAAUCGGAAUUACUGGGCGUAAAGCGCACGCAGGCGGUCUGUCAAGUCGGAUGUGAAAUCCCCGGGCUCAACCUGGGAACUGCAUUCGAAACUGGCAGGCUAGAGUCUUGUAGAGGGGGGUAGAAUUCCAGGUGUAGCGGUGAAAUGCGUAGAGAUCUGGAGGAAUACCGGUGGCGAAGGCGGCCCCCUGGACAAAGACUGACGCUCAGGUGCGAAAGCGUGGGGAGCAAACAGGAUUAGAUACCCUGGUAGUCCACGCCGUAAACGAUGUCGAUUUGGAGGUUGUGCCCUUGAGGCGUGGCUUCCGGAGCUAACGCGUUAAAUCGACCGCCUGGGGAGUACGGCCGCAAGGUUAAAACUCAAAUGAAUUGACGGGGGCCCGCACAAGCGGUGGAGCAUGUGGUUUAAUUCGAUGCAACGCGAAGAACCUUACCUGGUCUUGACAUCCACAGAACUUUCCAGAGAUGGAUUGGUGCCUUCGGGAACUGUGAGACAGGUGCUGCAUGGCUGUCGUCAGCUCGUGUUGUGAAAUGUUGGGUUAAGUCCCGCAACGAGCGCAACCCUUAUCCUUUGUUGCCAGCGGUCCGGCCGGGAACUCAAAGGAGACUGCCAGUGAUAAACUGGAGGAAGGUGGGGAUGACGUCAAGUCAUCAUGGCCCUUACGACCAGGGCUACACACGUGCUACAAUGGCAUAUACAAAGAGAAGCGACCUCGCGAGAGCAAGCGGACCUCAUAAAGUAUGUCGUAGUCCGGAUUGGAGUCUGCAACUCGACUCCAUGAAGUCGGAAUCGCUAGUAAUCGUAGAUCAGAAUGCUACGGUGAAUACGUUCCCGGGCCUUGUACACACCGCCCGUCACACCAUGGGAGUGGGUUGCAAAAGAAGUAGGUAGCUUAACCUUCGGGAGGGCGCUUACCACUUUGUGAUUCAUGACUGGGGUGAAGUCGUAACAAGGUAACCGUAGGGGAACCUGCGGCUGGA